GAUGAACGCUAGCUACAGGCUUAACACAUGCAAGUCGAGGGGUAACGAGAGGGAAGCUUGCUUUCCUUGUCGACGACCGGCGCACGGGUGAGUAACGCGUAUCCAACCUGCCCCCAACUAGGGAAUAACCUUGCGAAAGUAAGACUAAUACCCUAUAAUUUCCUCAGAUGUCAUCUGACGAGGAAUAAAGAUUUAUCGGUUGUGGAUGGGGAUGCGUCUGAUUAGCUUGUUGGCGGGGUAACGGCCCACCAAGGAAACGAUCAGUAGGGGUUCUGAGAGGAAGGUCCCCCACAUUGGAACUGAGACACGGUCCAAACUCCUACGAGAGGCAGCAGUGAGGAAUAUUGGUCAAUGGGCGGAAGCCUGAACCAGCCAAGUAGCGUGCAGGAUGACGGCCCUAUGGGUUGUAAACUGCUUUUAUACAGGAAUAAAGUUAGCCACGUGUGGUUAUUUGUAGGUACUGUAUGAAUAAGGACCGGCUAAUUCCGUGCCAGCAGCCGCGGUAA
rnacentral:rRNA from 1 species